GAUGAACGCUGGCGGCGUGCUUAACACAUGCAAGUCGAACGAAGCACUUUAUUUGAUUUCCUUCGGGACUGAUUAUUUUGUGACUGAGUGGCGGACGGGUGAGUAACGCGUGGGUAACCUGCCUUGUACAGGGGGAUAACAGUUGGAAACGGCUGCUAAUACCGCAUAAGCGCACGGUAUCGCAUGAUGCAGUGUGAAAAACUCCGGUGGUAUAAGAUGGACCCGCGUUGGAUUAGCUAGUUGGUGAGGUAACGGCCCACCAAGGCGACGAUCCAUAGCCGACCUGAGAGGGUGACCGGCCACAUUGGGACUGAGACACGGCCCAAACUCCUACGGGAGGCAGCAGUGGGGAAUAUUGCACAAUGGGCGAAAGCCUGAUGCAGCGACGCCGCGUGAGCGAAGAAGUAUUUCGGUAUGUAAAGCUCUAUCAGCAGGGAAGAUAAUGACGGU
rnacentral:rRNA from 1 species